rnacentral:rRNA from 1 species
UACGUAGGGGGCGAGCGUUGUCCGGAUUCAUUGGGCGUAAAGCGCGCGUAGGCGGCUCCGCAAGUCGGCCGUGAAAUCUCCGGGCUCAACUCGGAGGGGUCGGGCGAGACUGCGAGGCUCGAGGUGGGCAGAGGGCAGUGGAAUUCCGGGUGUAGUGGUGGAAUGCGUAGAGAUCCGGAGGAACACCAGUGGCGAAGGCGGCUGCCUGGGCCUGGCCUGACGCUGAGGCGCGAAAGCGUGGGGAGCAAACAGG